UACGUAGGUGGCAAGCGUUGUCCGGAAUUACUGGGCGUAAAGCGCGCGUAGACGGCUUAAUAAGUCAGAUGUGAAAGACCCGGGCUCAACUCGGGGGUUGCAUCUGAGACUGUUGAGCUUGAGUGCAGGAGAGGCAAGUGGAAUUCCCAGUGUAGCAGUGAAAUGCGUAGAGAUUGGGAGGAACACCAGUGGCGAAGGCGACUUGCUGGACUGUAACUGACGUUGAGGUGCGAAAGCUAGGGGAGCAAACGGG
rnacentral:rRNA from 1 species